rfam:Gossypium raimondii chromosome 4, whole genome shotgun sequence.
AUGUGAUGAGGUUAUCUUCAUAAUAGUUCUUUAAUACUGUCCCACGCCUCAUACAAAGACUUAUCAUCCAACUGUUGGAAGGUAGUAAUCUCAUUCCUCAACUU